AAAUGGUUUUCGAAAACUUACCGUGGCUAACUCUUAAAACCCAGCCACUACUGAGAAUUUUAAAUACAUCCAAUCCACAUUACAUUACAUAUUUUUGGCAGUUGUCAAAAGUAACAUAGCUGCACUUAUUAGCGGCUCUUUUUCAAAUACCGAGU